rnacentral:tRNA from 1 species
GGGCUCGUAGCUCAGGCGGUUAGAGCAACGGUCUUAUAAGCCGUAGGUCGCAGGUUCAAGUCCUGCCGAGCCCA